rnacentral:sRNA from 1 species
UUUUAUUUAUUUAUUUGUCUUCCGUUGCGUGAG